rnacentral:rRNA from 1 species
CCUACGGGUGGCAGCAGUGGGGAAUAUUGGACAAUGGGGGCAACCCUGAUCCAGCCAUGCCGCGUGUGUGAAGAAGGCCCUCGGGUUGUAAAGCACUUUCAGUGAGGAAGAACGCCUGGUGGUUAAUACCCAUCAGGAAAGACAUCACUCACAGAAGAAGCACCGGCUAACUCCGUGCCAGCAGCCGCGGUAAUACGGAGGGUGCGAGCGUUAAUCGGAAUUACUGGGCGUAAAGCGCGCGUAGGUGGCUUGAUAAGCCGGUUGUGAAAGCCCCGGGCUCAACCUGGGAACGGCAUCCGGAACUGUGAAGCUAGAGUGCAGGAGAGGAAGGUAGAAUUCCCGGUGUAGCGGUGAAAUGCGUAGAGAUCGGGAGGAAUACCAGUGGCGAAGGCGGCCUUCUGGACUGACACUGACACUGAGGUGCGAAAGCGUGGGUAGCAAACAGGAUUAGAUACCCUGGUAGUC